rnacentral:lncRNA from 1 species
CGUUACAGAUGGGGGAGAUGGACUCUGAACUGGAAGCUCUUGAGAUCCCUCUUCUGGGGGAUUACGAGGUCCAUCACUUGCUUUGCAAAAAAAUUUCUGAUAUAGUUGCUGUAAGUAAUCCCACCCCAUCUUUGCAGCAAAGAAGAUCCAUAAAACCUACGCUUCAGAUGGGGGAGAUGGACUCUAAACUGGAAGCUCUUGAGAUCCCUCUUCUGGGGGAUUACGAGGUCCAUCACUUGCUUCGCAAAAAAAUUUCAGAUAUAGUUGCUGUAAGUAAUCCCACCCCAUCUUUGCAGCAAAGAAGAUCCAUAAAACUUGCGCUUCAGAUGGGGGAGAUGGACUCUGAACUGGAAGCUCUUGAGAUCCCUCUUCUGGGGGAUUACGAGGUCCAUCACUUGCUUCGCAAAAAAAUUUCAGAUAUAGUUGCUGUAAGUAAUCCCACCCCAUCUUUGCAGCAAAGAAGAUCCAUAAAACCUACGCUUCAGAUGGGGGAGAUGGACUCUAAACUGGAAGCUCUUGAGAUCCCUCUUCUGGGGGAUUACGAGGUCCAUCACUUGCUUCGCAAAAAAAUUUCAGAUAUAGUUGCUGUAAGUAAUCCCACCCCA